CAGGAGAUCUUCCCGACCCAGGAAUUGAACCCAUGUCUCUUGCAUCCCCUGUAUUGGCAGGCAGAUUCUUUACCACUACGCCACCUGGGAAGCCACUAAGCAGAUGUAAUUUAUUUAAUCUGUAAGACGGGGAAAACGAAGGGUUGGUUUUUCUCCAAAACACUCCCUUGAAAGCUAGCAGAGAGAAGGCAUUGGGGAGGAGGAGGUACCAACUUGGCAGCAUAUCCUCCAGCCAAAAAGAAGUAAUCAUAAGUGAAGAGCAGUGGAGGUGAUCUGACAGCAGACUAAUCACUUAGGCAGCUGCUCCUUUAUGCUUGUCAUCCACAGGAUACCUACCAGACUAGAGUCAAGCUCUGUGCCAGCUGCUUGCUUACACACCCACUGAAUAAACAAGAGCACCUGACUCCUCAGGACUUAACAUUUUCCAUGAGACUCAAUCAUUAGAUAUCAUUUCUAGGAUGCAGAAUGAAGUUUAGUGGCUGAACUAGCUGCACAAAGGAACUCAAUCUUCUCUCUACAUGUAAAUAUUCUCUUUCUUCAAUUCAGCACUGCAAAAAAAUAACCUCACUGAACCACUUGAAUGAACUUCAAAAGGGGACUUCAACCACUCACCUGGAUACAAGCCAGAGGCUCAUUUGUCCAAAUCGAAUAUCCACCAACUAAGUAUAUUCUCUCAUUAUGGACAGCAACUCCAGAUUCAUUUUGGCCUAAAGUAAAGAGAAUUGAAUAAAAGAGGAAAAAUAAAUC